rnacentral:tRNA from 1 species
GCGGUGAUGGUGGAAUAGGCAGACACGCUUGUUUGAGGGGCAAGUUCCCAGUAGGGAGUGAGGGUUCAAAUCCCUCUCACCGCACCA